rnacentral:lncRNA from 1 species
UUUGUUUUUAAUAUCUUGUAACUUGAUUCAAUCAAGGGAUUGAAUCAAGGGGUUAAGGUUUGUUGGUGAGCCAAAGGGAAAACCAACGGUGUUAGGUUUGUUGGUGAGCCGAGGGUAAAACCAACGUGUAAGGGUUCGAUUGUGAUCCCGGAAAAACAAUCGGGGUGGUUCUAGUCGGUGAACCUGAGAAAAACCGACCGAGUUCGUUGUGCGCUCGAAAAACAACAAGUUGGGUUGUGAGCUUGUAAAACAACCAACUGUAAUCUGUAGGAUUAUAGUGAAAUUCCCAAGAGGUCUUGGAGAGUGGAUGUAGGUGCUGGGGUGCACCGAACCACUAUAUGUUUGUUGUGUUUGUAAUGCUUCUUGUUAUUGUCUAACUAACACACUUACUUACUUAGAUAAAUUGCUUGCUUAACUCUUAUCCGCGCAUCCUUUAGCUGCAAGCAUAUUCAAUCAAGUCACAUUCUAUACAUCAAACUGUUGCUAAGUUUAACUCUCACUGUGCAUCUAUACAACUUAGCAUAAUUAAUCA